rnacentral:rRNA from 1 species
UACAGAGGGUGCAAGCAUUAAUCGGAUUUAUUGGGCGUAAAGAGCGCGUAGGCGGGUUUUUAAGUCAGAUGUGAAAUCCCGGGGCUCAACCCCGGAACAGCAUUUGAAACUGAAAAAUCUUGAGGGUAGUCGGAGAAAAUGGAAAUUCCACGUGUAGCGGUGAAAUGCGUAGAUAUGUGGAAGAACACCGGUGGCGAAGGCGAUUUUCUAGAUUAUUCCUGACGCUGAUGCGCGAAAGCAAGGGGAUCAAACAGG